GACGAACGCUGGCGGCGUGCUUAACACAUGUAAGUCGAACGGAAAGGCCCUGCUUUUGUGGGGUGCUCGAGUGGCGAACGGGUGAGAAACACGUGAGUAACCUGCCCUUGACUUUGGGAUAACUUCAGGAAACUGGGGCUAAUACCGGAUAGGAGCUCCUGCUGCAUGGUGGGGGUUGGAAAGUUUCGGCGGUUGGGGAUGGACUCGCGGCUUAUCAGCUUGUUGGUGGGGUAGUGGCUUACCAAGGCUUUGACGGGUAGCCGGCCUGAGAGGGUGACCGGCCACAUUGGGACUGAGAUACGGCCCAGACUCCUACGGGAGGCAGCAGUGGGGAAUAUUGCACAAUGGGCGGAAGCCUGAUGCAGCAACGCCGCGUGCGGGAUGACGGCCUUCGGGUUGUAAACCGCUUUCGCCUGUGACGAAGCGUGAGUGACGGUAAUGGGUAAAGAAGCACCGGCUAACUACGUG
rnacentral:rRNA from 1 species